GAUGAACGCUGGCGGCGUGCCUAAUACAUGCAAGUCGAGCGAACAGACGAGGAGCUUGCUCCUCUGACGUUAGCGGCGGACGGGUGAGUAACACGUGGAUAACCUACCUAUAAGACUGGGAUAACUUCGGGAAACCGGAGCUAAUACCGGAUAAUAUAUUGAACCGCAUGGUUCAAUAGUGAAAGACGGGUUUGCUGUCACUUAUAGAUGGAUCCGCGCCGCAUUAGCUAGUUGGUAAGGUAACGGCUUACCAAGGCAACGAUGCGUAGCCGACCUGAGAGGGUGAUCGGCCACACUGGAACUGAGACACGGUCCAGACUCCUACGGGAGGCAGCAGUAGGGAAUCUUCCGCAAAGGGCGAAAGCUUGACGGAGCAACGCCGCGUGAGUGAUGAAGGUCUUCGGAUCGUAAAACUCUGUUAUUAGGGAAGAACAAAUGUGUAAGUAACUAUGCACGUCUUGACGGUACCUAAUCAGAAAGCCACGGCUAACUACGUG
rnacentral:rRNA from 1 species